CUAAGGUUCUGUAAUUAAGGAAGAAGGAGAACAAGACAUACGCAGAACUGCAACUGGGCCUUUGCCAGUGGGGAGAAAUGCUGCUGGGUGGUGCUCAGAGAAACAGGAUGCUGAUGGCAAGGAGAACAUCCCUCCCCAUCCACCAGCCCUGCAGGUAUCCUGAGGUUGCAGGACCAAGGACAGAGGGAUCCACAGUGGAACCUAGAAUAAUCAUCCCAGCAGACUGCAAGGAUUUUUAUGCCCGGAGAAGCACUGUCUUCAACAAGGGACAUGGAAAAAUUUCAGUUUAUGUUUGAAGAGAACAUGGAUUCAUUUGAAGAGGGAUGUUGGAGGAGGAGGAGGCUGAUGCGGGGAAACACCGCCUCUGUGGUCCGCGUUUGAGAGGUUACAGGGCCAUCUGCUCAGCCUCCACCCAGUGCCACUGGGUUCUCCUGGAUGGGGGCCUUCAGUGUCACAGAUCUUUGGGGAUUACCUCCUGACUCAGUAAAGAGUAAGGCAAGAUUAGAGUAUCCCAAGUUUGAGAGUAAGAAGCACUACCGUGGUGGGUUCCUGCUUUCUCCCUGUCAGUGCCUCCUCUUUCCUGGACGUGCAGUUUGGGAGCAGUUGGCCCCACCUCCCAAACCAAUUUCUAAGAGCCCGUUGGGAUUGCCUUAAACCAAUCAAGACAUGAACUCCACCAUGAUUGGUUCAGGGAUAAUCAUAUGACUCAAAUCAGUCCAAUCAGGUUCAGUAGCACUCAAGUGCAAGACAUUUGGGUCCCAGAGAAGCAAAACACUUUCCUCCUGAUUGGAAGCUGGCAGCGAGAGAGGAAGCUGCUGAGCACCAUUUUGAGAUGGUGGAGGGAAAGCCAGUGCUGAAGAGACACUUUUGAGAAACUGAGGGAAGAAAUCAGUGCACAACAUUUGAACACCUGGGUCACCUGUUGCCUGAAGCCAGCCUUGCCUUUAGACCUUUGCGCCCAAUAAGCCAACACAUGUCCUUUCUUUUUUUCAAUGCCACUUUAAGUUAUGUUCUCCAUUACAACCAAAGCUCUAGGAUAGGAGUGUGGCUAUCCUGGGGUCUGCUCUUUGGACAGAGUCCUUAUGGCCGUGACAGAAUCACCGUGAAAGGAGCUCUUGACUUGGUGUUGGGGCAUCCAAGCUCUGAUCUCAUUUAGACUGAACUGGUUGGCUUUCUCUGAGACUCCAGUCCUCAUGUGUGAUAGAGAUGAUCCUUCCUGGCCUGUUUAACACAGAACUGAUGUGAAGUCACCUGAGACAGAGAAGAGGAGAGCACACCGAAGAGUCUGAAGCUAGUGAGGCCGCUGUGCUCCUGGGAGCAGGCCGGACACUCCCUGGGGAGGCACGGUUGGGGCCAGCCUUCUGGAACCAGGCAGGCAUGAGGCCAGGAGGCACUGUGCCCAUGAAGGGAGAGACAUGCUGGAAGGAGGGGAUGAACAAGGGAAUGUCCAGCCUGUGCCAACACCUGUGGGCAGGUGAAGGUCCUGUCCUCAUUACACGUCCACCUUCAGUGUCUAUAUUUCUGCUUACCAUGACACAGGAGAAUGACAGAGUUUGGGGCAGAAAGUCCUUUGACCUUGAUGCUGUGAGUCCAUGCAGAAGGUAGCCACCUGGCAGGUCAUUAAAAAAGAUUCAAGGAUGUGAUUCUAUAGAACAGCUAUGCAUGCCCAGGAGAUUCCUUUCUCCCCACUUUUGAGAAAUUCUUUGAGAGCAAAAUUAAUUCAUGUAGUAUCUGUAGGAAGCAAAUUAUUUUCUUUACUUGGAAAGAAUUCAAAAGACAUGAGAGGGCAAGCAGUUGGUGGCAAGCACAUGGCCAGUGAGAGACACAGGUGCUCCUCCUGCUGUAGACCAGCGUGGUGUUGCCUCGUGCUGAGCUAGCUGCCUUGCUAGAGGCCCAGGUUGCCUCUGGACUGCUCAUGGGCAAACCAUCCUUGCCAAACUCCCUGAGGUCAGCUCCUCCCAGCCUUGGGGGUCUGUACUGUGGCAGAAGCCCCUUGUGGUUCAUCCCUCAGCCAUGCUUGUGGCACCACAGCCACCCUCUAUAGCUGCUCCAAUGAACACAGCUCCACAAGGCAGCUUUUCUCACCUCUCCAGCCCAGGGUGGGUUGUGUUAACCAUGUCUUCUAUUUUCUAUAUUUCCUAAUGCUUUUGUAACCAUGAGACCAGCUUAAACCCACUAACAAUUGCCUAAGCUGUUAUACAUGGCACAGAGCCAAAAUUGCAAGACAUGUAUCCUGGGCAAGACAUGUAUCCUUCAGCCUCCUAAUUGGUAACAGGACCAGCAUGGCAGUCUGGCUGCACUGGCAUCAUCUGGGACUAGUUAGAAAUGCCAUAAAAGCUUGACCCACUCCCAGAUAGGCCUAGAUGGCUUGAGGUAGAGAAUGCUACAAUUUUAAAACAUCAUUUUGCGUCAGAGCACGGGAAACAGAUUGGAGAAUUGCCACCUAUCUCCUUGCCAGUAGACUCACAAUGGCAUUGUCUUUUGCCUUUCUCAAAAGCCGGUGCCAUAAUAUUGGCUCCUGUGUUCACUGGAUUACGAGACCAUUGCUCAGUGACACUUUGACAACUAGGGCCUUGCUGGCCCUGUAUGGACUGCCCCUCCCAGGGUUCAUCAAUUUGUAAAAGUAGUAAACAACUCAUACAAGAGAUGCUUCUCAAAUACAAACCAACCAAUCCAGCGCCCACACCCCAUCACCUUCCUUACUGGAUUCUCACACUCUGGGCCACUGUGCCCCAGGGGCACCCCUUAUGCCCCAGAGCCUGUUGAAGUUAGGAUUGUUGCAUUCCAAUCCUAAGCUUGCUUACCCUACAUCACUUAUUCCUUCCCCUACAUCACUUAUUCCUUCCCACAGAAACCGCAAUAAAGGCUCUUGGCCAUGUUUUCCUCCAGUUCCCUCUGCUCCCUGACCAGCCCUAGUGCUUCCCCACACACCCCGGCAUGAGGCAGGGUGUCCCCUCCUCUUGGAGUCUGAGUGACUGAAUUAUCUUUUCAAUGGCACCCCUCUCCCUCCCCGCUCUCCUGCUCUGUUGGCCUUACUAUACCUCCAGUUUUCUAUCAACCCACUAUAUUUUGAAAUCUGGGCCCAGUGACAACGGUCCUCACUCAGAAGGUUCCAGUCAUACUUUCUAGGAGAAGCUCAAAGUUACACACCUUGCAUUUCACAAGUGCCAGUUCAUUGUUUUAAGCCUCAAAUUUCUCAACAGAGCAGGAAACCAUUGUUGUUGUUGUUCUUUCUGUGCCUCCACAACCCGAGAUAAACAUCAGCCUAGAGUUUGGACAGGGAGUUGUUUAUUAUUCUUGGAAAAAUAAGGAGAGAGGAGGCAAGUCUUGCAUCAGUGUGCUCGCCCCUAGAGAGCUGUUAUCAUGACACAAACCCCAG
rnacentral:lncRNA from 10 species